rnacentral:rRNA from 1 species
CUUGCUCUCGGGUGACGAGUGGCGGACGGGUGAGUAAUGUCUGGGAAACUUGCCUGAUGGAGGGGGAUAACUACUGGAAACGGUAGCUAAUACCGCAUAAUGUCGCAAGACCAAAGAGGGGGACCUUCGGGCCUCUUGCCAUCAGAUGUGCCCAGAUGGGAUUAGCUAGUAGGUGGGGUAACGGCUCACCUAGGCGACGAUCCCUAGCUGGUCUGAGAGGAUGACCAGCCACACUGGAACUGAGACACGGUCCAGACUCCUACGGGAGGCAGCAGUGGGGAAUAUUGCACAAUGGGCGCAAGCCUGAUGCAGCCAUGCCGCGUGUAUGAAGAAGGCCUUCGGGUUGUAAAGUACUUUCAGCGGGGAGGAAGGUGUUGUGGUUAAUAACCACAGCAAUUGACGUUACCCGCAGAAGAAGCACCGGCUAACUCCGUGCCAGCAGCCGCGGUAAUACGGAGGGUGCAAGCGUUAAUCGGAAUUACUGGGCGUAAAGCGCACGCAGGCGGUCUGUCAAGUCGGAUGUGAAAUCCCCGGGCUCAACCUGGGAACUGCAUUCGAAACUGGCAGGCUGGAGUCUUGUAGAGGGGGGUAGAAUUCCAGGUGUAGCGGUGAAAUGCGUAGAGAUCUGGAGGAAUACCGGUGGCGAAGGCGGCCCCCUGGACAAAGACUGACGCUCAGGUGCGAAAGCGUGGGGAGCAAACAGGUUAUUAGAUACCCUGGUAGUCCACGCCGUAAACGAUGUCGAUUUGGAGGUUGUGCCCUUGAGGCGUGGCUUCCGGAGCUAACGCGUUAAAUCGACCGCCUGGGGAGUACGGCCGCAAGGUUAAAACUCAAAUGAAUUGACGGGGGCCCGCACAAGCGGUGGAGCAUGUGGUUUAAUUCGAUGCAACGCGAAGAACCUUACCUGGUCUUGACAUCCACAGAACUUUCCAGAGAUGGAUUGGUGCCUUCGGGAACUGUGAGACAGGUGCUGCAUGGCUGUCGUCAGCUCGUGUUGUGAAAUGUUGGGUUAAGUCCCGCAACGAGCGCAACCCUUAUCCUUUGUUGCCAGCGGUUAGGCCGGGAACUCAAAGGAGACUGCCAGUGAUAAACUGGAGGAAGGUGGGGAUGACGUCAAGUCAUCAUGGCCCUUACGACCAGGGCUACACACGUGCUACAAUGGCGCAUACAAAGAGAAGCGACCUCGCGAGAGCAAGCGGACCUCAUAAAGUGCGUCGUAGUCCGGAUUGGAGUCUGCAACUCGACUCCAUGAAGUCGGAAUCGCUAGUAAUCGUAGAUCAGAAUGCUACGGUGAAUACGUUCCCGGGCCUUGUACACACCGCCCGUCACACCAUGGGAGUGGGUUGCAAAAGAAGUAGGUAGCUUAACCUUCGGGAGGGCGCUACCACUUGGAUCAGGGG